UACGGGGGGGAGCAAGCGUUGUUCGGAUUUACUGGGCGUAAAGGGCGCGUAGGCGGCCACCGCAAGUCGACUGUGAAAUCUCCGGGCUUAACCCGGAAAGGUCAGCCGAUACUGCGGGGCUAGAGUGCAGAAGGGGGCAACUGGAAUUCUCGGUGUAGCGGUGAAAUGCGUAGAUAUCGAGAGGAACACCUGCGGCGAAGGCGGGUUGCUGGGCUGACACUGACGCUGAUGCGCGAAAGCUAGGGGAGCGAACGGG
rnacentral:rRNA from 1 species